UCGUUCGCUUAAAACUCCUUAACUUGAAUUUUCCUGACUCCACCCUUAACUUGCGGAGAUAGCAUUUUAAACUUUAAUUAGAAUUAGAAUGCAUGCCCCUAAUUAAUCAUAGCCCAAGAACUUAAUUAGAAUUCCGGCUCAAAACUAAAUUAAUUUCAGCCCAAGCUCCCUCGUAAAUUAAUUCCAUCCGACCCAACUGAUCUUCUCCCUUUUUGGUUUAUUUUGGCCUAAGGAUCAAUUAUUUCAGCCCAACAAAUAAUUCUCUGCCCAACUGCCCCUCUCAUUUUCUAAGAACUCGGCCUAAAUAAAUUAUACGAAAGCAGCCCAACUGUCAAAUCUUCUCAGCCCAAGCAUACACCAUUUCCGGCCCAAUAUAAAUUCCUCAAAUUACUCCUCAAGGCCCAACUUCUGUAAAUACUUAGGGUGGCCCAAAUAAAGAUACUGUAUAUGGGAGCAGCCCAAUAUUAAUCCAACUAUUUUAUUUCUCACCUCCCUCUCUAUUAAGAAUCAGUCCUCAACAAAAUUAAAACAUCAACUAUCCCUUCUCUCUCGCUCUCUGCGUGAAUUCGCAGAAUGGGAUUUAAAUCCCAAACUUCUCUCUUUUCCUUCAAACAAAGCUCCCAAAUCAGAAACCUUAAUCCAUGUCUCUCUUCUAUCUCUCUUCUUCACUCUCGGUGGUGCACGCCUAUUGCCUGUAGCCGUCGCUGUUCUACUCCUAUCUCUCAAAUCACUUUUCACUUUCUCUUCCCUAAUUGUAGAAAAUAGGGAAAACCCCCAAAUCGGUCUUCUUUCUCAAUUCUAGUUCUAAUUAGAGAGAAGCAGCGUCUACCAAAUCGGUCUUCUUUCUCAAUUCUAGUUCUAAUUAGAGAGAAGCAGCGUCUACCUUCUUCUCUCUACACUUGCUGCCAAUUGCUUCCCCUCUCACCGCCUGCCUCCUCUGGCGAAACGCUCACCGCCGCCGCUGCCAGACACGGCGGGAGCUCCUGACCGAGCUGCUGCUGCUCGAUGGUUUAGGGGGCUGCCCCUUUUUGGAGUUUUGGUGGAGGUAGAAAUCGAGAAAGAUAAAGUAAGAGAAGAGAAGUGAUUUACUACAUCACUCACUUUGUCUUAUUGCUAAGUUUAGCAAUUGUUUAAGCAUUAGGUUGGGAAUAGCUCUUGACCAAGUCUUAAUUAAGCCUCUAGCUUGAUGUUGGUUCCUUUCAAAGCUUAGAGUAGGAUUAGUUGUUAUUUUGUUCUCAUUGUAGCAAGGGUCCAAGAAAUGUAUCACUCUCUUGUAUUUUCUAUUUUUCCAACAAUUGUAAUUUCAAAACUUAAAUUUCCUUGCACUUUAAUUUCCAAUCGUCUCUUCAUCCUAAA